rnacentral:rRNA from 1 species
GAGUCAACAUAGCAAUAUGUGGCAUACGGCUCAGUAACACGUAGUCAACACGCCCAGGGGACGUGGAUAACCUCGGGAAACUGAGGAUAAACCGCGAUAGGUCAUCACUUCUGGAAUGGGUAAUGACUUAAAUCUAUAUGGCCCCUGGAUUGGACUGCGGCCGAUCAGGCUGUUGGUGAGGUAAUGGCCCACCAAACCUGUAACCGGUACGGGCUCUGAGAGGAGGAGCCCGGAGAUGGGCACUGAGACAAGGGCCCAGGCCCUAUGGGGCGCAGCAGGCGCGAAACCUCUGCAAUAGGCGAAAGCUUGACAGGGUUACUCUGAGUGAUUUCCGUUAAGGAGAUCUUUUGGCACCUCUAAAAAUGGUGCAGAAUAAGGGGCGGGCAAGUCUGGUGUCAGCCGCCGCGGUAAUACCAGCACCCCGAGUGGUCGGGACGUUUAUUGGGCCUAAAGCAUCCGUAGCCGGUUCUACAAGUCUUCCGUUAAAUCCACCUGCUUAACAGAUGGGCUGCGGAAGAUACUAUAGAGCUAGGAGGCGGGAGAGGCAAGCGGUACUCGAUGGGUAGGGGUAAAAUCCGUUGAUCCAUUGAAGACCACCAGUGGCGAAGGCGGCUUGCCAGAACGCGCUCGACGGUGAGGGAUGAAAGCUGGGGGAGCAAACCGGAUUAGAUACCCGGGUAGUCCCAGCUGUAAACGAUGCAGACUCGGUGAUGAGUUGGCUUAUUGCUAACUCAGUGCCGCAGGGAAGCCGUUAAGUUUGCCGCCUGGGGAGUACGGUCGCAAGACUGAA